rnacentral:rRNA from 1 species
CAAGUCGUGGGGCAGCAGGGGUGUAGCAAUACAUCUGCUGGCGACCGGCAAACGGGUGCGUAACACGUACGCAACCUUCCCGUUACUGUGGCAUAGCCCAGGGAAACUUGGAUUAAUACCACAUAUUAUAUUGAGGGGGCAUCCUCUUGAUAUCAAAGCUUCGGCGGUAACGGAUGGGCGUGCGGUUGAUUAGGUAGUUGGCGGGGUAACGGCCCACCAAGCCUACGAUCAAUAGCUGAUGUGAGAGCAUGAUCAGCCACACGGGCACUGAGACACGGGCCCGACUCCUACGGGAGGCAGCAGUAAGGAAUAUUGGGCAAUGGACGAAAGUCUGACCCAGCCAUGCCGCGUGAAGGAUUAAGGUCCCCUGGAUUGUAAACUUCUUUUCUCUGGGGCGAAAAACAGCUAUUCUUAGUUGCUUGACAGUACCAGAGGAAUAAGCACCGGCUAACUCCGUGCCAGCAGCCGCGGUAAUACGGAGGGUGCAAGCGUUAUCCGGAUUCACUGGGUUUAAAGGGUGCGUAGGUGGGCCAGUAAGUCAGUGGUGAAAUCCCCGAGCUUAACUCGGGAACUGCCGUUGAUACUAUUGGUCUUGAAUAUCGUGGAGGUAAGCGGAAUAUGUCAUGUAGCGGUGAAAUGCUUAGAUAUGACAUAGAACACCGAUUGCGAAGGCAGCUUGCUACACGGUCAUUGACACUGAGGCACGAAAGCGUGGGGAUCAAACAGGAUUAGAUACCCUGGUAGUCCACGCCCUAAACUAUGGAUACUCGACAUCAGCGAUACACAGUUGGUGUCUGAGCGAAAGCAUUAAGUAUCCCACCUGGGAAGUACGAUCGCAAGAUUGAAACUCAAAGGAAUUGGCGG